rnacentral:rRNA from 1 species
GCCUUCCAGACCUCAGAUCAGGCAAGGCUACCCGCUG